rnacentral:rRNA from 1 species
GUAUCAUGGCUCAGGAUGAACGCUAGCUACAGGCUUAACACAUGCAAGUCGAGGGGCGAGCAUUUCAGUUUGCUUGCAAACUGGAGAUGGCGACCGGCGCACGGGUGAGUAACACGUAUCCAACCUGCCGAUAACUCGGGGAUAGCCUUUCGAAAGAAAGAUUAAUACCCGAUGGUAUAAUUAGACCGCAUGGUCUUGUUAUUAAAGAAUUUCGGUUAUCGAUGGGGAUGCGUUCCAUUAGG